GGGAGUACCACGGGCUGGUCAAAAUCACAUUGUGGAGGUGCAGAUUGCAUCGUGUUUUUUAAGAAGUACUUGUGAUUUUUUUCAAGAAAUACUUGUGUUUUUUCUGGAAAUACUCAUGUUUUUUCAAUAAACUUUUUCUUGCGAACGCAAGAGCACUAGUUUUCCAAGUUUCUUUGUAUUUGUUAGGUUUAACAAAAUCGAUCAUUAUUACCUCCGAAUCAUUACAUCUAGUUUAUGCUUUAGAUGGAGGGUAAUCUUAUUUUAUCUUCUAAACAGUUUUUAUAAAUCUGCCUUUUUUAAAUA
rnacentral:lncRNA from 1 species